AACUACAGCCAUGCUACCCCAAACCUGCUCAAUCUCGUCUGAUCUCACAAGCUAAGCAGGGUCAGGCCUAGUUAGUACUUGAAUGGGAGAAAUAUAAUACAAUUGGCUGGGUUU
rnacentral:rRNA from 1 species